ACACUGGUGGUUCUGUGGUAGAAUUCUUGCCUUCUGUGUUGGAAACCUGGGUUCAACUCCUGGCCAGUACA
rnacentral:tRNA from 1 species